UGUAAGGCAACGAUGCUGGGGCUUUCCAUGUAUAGUAUUGAUGCGCGUACAAUAACCGUACAUCGUAUGUAAAGGCAAUAGGCUAUAAACCGAUGUGAGUAGGCUAUCUAAAUCCAGAUAUUUACCCAGAGCGUAAAUAAUCCUGUGGGGUUUUGUAGAUGAUCCGCGUCGCGUACGGUCAAUUUGAUUCCUUUGUAGGCCCACUAGACUAGAUUCCCUUUGUCACUCGCUCAAAAAUGUGGCACAGAUUUUACAGUCGUAGGAUGACAGAUUACUCAAGGAGUGGCUAUGUGCACAUGUGUCAGCGAUGACCGAAGUUGAAGUGACGUAUGCAGACUUCAUAGCCUCCGGUAGAACUGGACGAAGGAAUGCCCUGCAUGAUAUCCUCCAAAGCCCCACUGACCCAAACGCCAGAGAUCUCCCCCUGAGCCUAUCUCAACUCAACAUCAAUCCAACCGGAGCUGACAUGGAAGAAAGUCAGGAAUCGUCCACAAACGCUCUGUCACAGUCAGGGCAGAAGAAUCGGGGAAACUUUCAGGCCUAAACACUGAGUUGAGCCUGCACUCACCACCACAGUCUCCCAAAGUCACACAAACGGUGUAGUUCGUUUUGAAAGAAAAACUGUAAACGGGAAAUCAUUACUGUGUAGAGUUCGACGCCCUUGGCUGGGUGAGACACCUGUUUUUAAUAUGGAGAUUGGGCCAAACAUCCCCGUAUUUAACAAUGGAUUAGGGCUAAAGCCAGACUGAGGUUGGCAAAUAGUGAUUUAAGUAAUAUUUCAGGAUCCAUCUAACUUACUAGAGGAUGCAAGGAACUGCAAAGAGCAUAUAAAGAUCGGUUACAAUGGUGCUGGUUGACAGUGGGUUUCCAGGUAGUAGAAACUACAGGUGGACUACAGUUUGUGGUUGCUGUGGUGACUGAAAGGAUUUGAGCAUUUUGAUCUCAUACUUCCUUCAGAAACAUCAUCCAGACACCACCCCAUUUUUUUUAUUGUAUAUGUUAUACAGUAUACGUCAUUGAUCACAGGUUUUUAUUCAACAACACCACUACCUUGGAUAUUGGCAUUAUUUACAGAAUAGAUUAAACUAGGUCUGUCAACAUCUUAAUUUGCGCAGUAUUUCUUUAAAAAUGCACGUACACUAUUUUAUACUUUUUGUAUGCUUUGUUUGGAGUUGUAGUGAGACUGUAUCACUAUUGAUGCCGACCACAGAUGUAGCAACCAGUACUUUAAGAUACACUUUUUAAAUUCCAAGUUAGUUUAACAUUUUGCAGUGCUGUUGUUGAAGCCAAGCACCACUAAAGUGGGUGUGUAUGUGUAAUAAAUGCUUACCAAAUGAUAUGAUGACCCCAACCCUGGUGCAUAACGCCAAUUCCAUUUCAAUCUAUUCAGACAGUAAAUCAAAUUCCAAUCGUUUUUUUUCUUUUUUCUCCCUAAUUUCAUGGUAUCCAAUUGUCUCAUCGCUGCAACACCCGUAUGGACUCGGCAGAGGCGAAGGUCGAGAGCCGUACGUCCUUGUGUCAAGAAGCAGUGCAGUGCUUCUUGACACAAUGCCCACCUAAAACGGAAGCCAGCAGCACCAAUGUGUUGGAGGAAACACCGUACACUUGGCAACCGUGUCAGUGCGUACUACGCCCGGCCAGCCACAGGAGUUGCUAGUGCGUGAUGGGACAAGGACAUCCCUGCUGGCCAAACCCUCCCAUAACCCGGACGACGCUGGGCCAAUUGCGCGCCGCCCCAUGGGUCUCCUGGUCAUGGCCGGCUACGACAGAGCCUGGACUCGAACCCAGAAUUUCAAGUGGCACAGCAUCAUCGGACUGAGCUUGUUGACAUUGGAGUCAAUCUCAAGCCAGUGUCUUAGACCACUGCACCACCCAGGAGGCCCCUCAAAUUCCAAUUCCAAGCCCAAAUGUUCCUAAUUGAAAAGUAUCGUACAGAUUUGGAAUUUCAGUGUACUUCCUAAAUUGUCUGGAAUUGACCCCAACCCUGUUACGCAUUGUGUAUGCCUAUACUUUCUAUGUAACAUGCUUUAAAAAGUCGCUGAUGGGCAAUUUCACUGAUGCAGUCAUACUAAACUCAGCAAAAAAAAUAAACGUCCCUUUUUCAGGACCCUGUCUUUCAAAGAUAAUUUGUAAAAAUUUAAAUAACUUCACAGAUCUUCAUUGUAAAGGGUUUAAACACUGUUUCCCAUGCUUGUUCAAUGAACCAUAAACAAUUAAUGAAAAUGCACCUGUGGAGCGGUCGUUAAGACACUAACAGCUUACAGACGGUAGGAAAUUAAGGUCACAGUUAUGAAAACUUAGGACACUAAAGAGGCCUUUUUCUGGCUCUGAAAAACACCAAAAGAAAGAUGCCCAGGGUCCCUGCUCAUCUGCGUGAACGUGCUGUAAGGAGGCAUGAGGACUGCAGAUGGGGCCAAGGCAAUAAAUUGCAAUGUCCGUACUGUGAGACGCCUAAGACAGCGGAAACAAGACGGACAGCUGAUCAUCCUCGCAGUGGCAGACCACGUGUAACAACACCUGCACAGGAUCGGUACAUCCGAACAUCACACCUGCGGGACAGGUACAGGAAUGCAACAACAAAUGCCCAAGUUACACCAGGAACGCACAAUCCCUCCAUCAGUGCUCAGACUGUCCUCAAUAGGUUGGACUGGGGGCUUGUAGGCCUGUUGUAAGGCAGGUCCUCACCAGACAUCACCGGCAACAACAUCGCCUGUGGGCACAAACCCACCGUCGCUGGACAAGACAGGACUGGAAGAAGUGCUCUUCACUGACGAGUCGCGGUUUUGUCUCACCAGGAGUGAUGGGUCGGAAUCGUAUUUAUCGUCGAAGGAAUGAGCGUUACACUGAGGCCUGUACUCUGGUGCUGGAACGAUUUGGAGGUGAAGGGGCCGUCAUGGUCUGGGGCGGUGUGUCACAGCAUCAUCGGACUGAGCUUGUUGACAUUGGAGUCAAUCUCAACGCUGUGUAUUACAGGGAAGACAUCCUCCUCCCUCAUGUAGUACCCUUCCUGCUGGCUCAUCCUGACAUGACCCUCCAACAUGACAAUGCCACCAGCCAUACUGCUCGUUCUGUGCGUGAUUUCCUGCAAGACAGGAAUGUCAGUGUUCUGCCAUGGCCAACGAAGACAUCGGAUCUCAAUCCCAUUGAGCACGUCUGGGACCUGUUGAAUCGGAGGGUGAGGGCUAGGGCCAUUCCCCCCAGAAAUGCCGGGAACUUGCAGGUGCCUUGGUGGAAGAGGGGGGCAUCUCACAGCAAUAACUGGCAAAUCUGGUGCAGUUCAUGAGGAGGAGAUUGCACUGCAGUACUUAAUGCAGCUGGUGGCCACACCAGAUACUGUUCAUUUUGACCCCCCCCCCCUCUCCCUUGUUCAGUGACACAUUAUUACAUUUCUGUCAGUCACAUGUCUGUGGAACUUGUUCAGUUUAUGUAUCAGUUGUUGAAUCUUGUUAUGUUCAUAUAAAUAUUCACACAUGUUAAGUUUGCUGAAAAUAAACGCUGUUGACAGUGAGAGGACAGUUCUUUUUUUUGCUGAGUUUAUGUAGAUCAAUUGUUACUAUAUUAUUCCUUCCUAAUUAAUAUGGAAAUGUUUUCCCAAAAGGAAGGCAAAUGUGAAACACUGAACAAGCAGAGUAAAUUUUAAUGAAACAUAAUUCACUUGAAAAUGUAGUUGUAAAAAAGGAUGAUAAAGAAUGCAUGGUUUAUCAAAAUUUGAUAAUUCACAAAAUGUUUGAUCAUGCACUGUAUGUUUGUUAUGCUAAUGUGUUACAGUAUGCCAAAUUGUAGGUGACUGUUAAAUCAGAAUCAGUUUAGCUAAUUUGUAGAAACCCAUCCAUGUGGUGGGAGUAUGUAAAUACUUUGUAUCAUGUUCCAGAACUGUACAACAAGAACAAUAAACACCGCUCCACUAUU